GCAAUGGCGACAUUUCUGUGAAUUGUGAGAAGUCAGCCGAGGUCAAGGUCAUAGUAGUUGCCACUCUGAUAGGCAACGAAGGAC
rnacentral:ncRNA from 1 species